AGAGAGAGACAUGCGCGCAUAUCAAUAAGCGGAGGAAAAGAAACUAACUAAGGAUUCCCUCAGUAACGGCGAGUGAAGCGGGAAGAGCUCAAAUUUGAAAUCUUCAAGGGUUCUACCUUUACGAAUUGUAGUUUAAAGAAGUGUUUUCUGUUGAGGUUUUGGUAAAAGUUCUUUGGAAUAGGACAUCAUAGAGGGUGAGAAUCCCGUAUUUGACCUUUACUUUCAACUUUGUGAUACACUUUCAAAGAGUCGGAUUGUUUGGGAAUGCAGUCCAAAAUGGGUGGUAAAUUUCAUCUAAAGCUAAAUAUUGGCGAGAGACCGAUAGCGAACAAGUACCGUGAGGGAAAGAUGAAAAGAACUUGAAAAGAGAGUUAAACAGUACGUGAAAUUGUCAAAAGGGAAGCGUUUGACACCAGUGUUGUUUUCUCGAAAAUCAAUUAAAGAAGGCAUGAUUUAUGUAGUUGUAUUAGACUUUAUCAGCUUCUGCACUGCCUCUUAGUUCUUGAGCUUUUCUUUAAUGCACUUUUCAGUUAACAAGUCAACAUCAAUUUCUUUUGUUGUAAAAGGGUCAUUGGAAGGUGGCUUUCUUUUCGGAGAAAGUGUUUAUAGCCUUUGGCCUCUGCAAUCGGAGAGAUUGAGGUCUGCAGCGUAGAUCCUUCGGGGUUAGAUACAUUUGUGCUAAGUUAUAGCCUUUCAUAGACAACUUGUUGACUAUGAUCAGUCAUGUAGCUUACUCGCUUAUGCUAUUUUACCUACGCUUAGGAUGUUGAUGUGAUACUGCGAGCA
rnacentral:rRNA from 1 species